rnacentral:rRNA from 1 species
UCGGGAAUUUUGGGCAAUGGGCGAAAGCCUGACCCAGCAACGCCGCGUGAAGGAUGAAGUAUUUCGGUAUGUAAACUUCGAAAGAAUAGGAAGAAUAAAUGACGGUACUAUUUAUAAGGUCCGGCUAACUACGUGCCAGCAGCCGCGGUAAUACGUAGGGACCAAGCGUUGUUCGGAAUCAUUGGGCGUAAAGGGCGUGUAGGCGGUAUGUUAAGUCAUGUGUGAAAUCCCUCGGCUCAACCGGGGAACGACGCAUGAAACUGGCAAGCUAGAGUACCAAAGAGGGUGGUGGAAUUCCCGGUGUAGCGGUGAAAUGCGUAGAUAUCGGGAGGAGCACCUGUGGCGAAGGCGGCCACCUGGUUGGAUACUGACGCUGAGACGCGAAAGCGUGGGGAGCAAACAGGAUUAGAUACCCUUGUAGUCCCUGAGCGGGCUGGCAAGGCGCAU